UACGAAGGGGGCUAGCGUUGUUCGGAAUCACUGGGCGUAAAGCGCACGUAGGCGGACCAUUAAGUCAGGGGUGAAAGCCUGGAGCUCAACUCCAGAACUGCCUUUGAUACUGAUGGUCUCGCAGUUCGGAAGAGGUUGGUGGAACUGCGAGUGUAGAGGUGAAAUUCGUAGAUAUUCGCAAGAACACCAGUGGCGAAGGCGUUAACAACUGGUCGGAUACUGACGCUGAGGUGCGAAA
rnacentral:rRNA from 1 species